GACGAACGCUGGCGGCGUGCUUAACACAUGCAAGUCGAACGGUAAGGCCCUUCGGGUACACGAGUGGCGAACGGGUGAGUAACACGUGGGUGAUCUGCCCUGCACUUCGGGAUAAGCCUGGGAAACUGGGUCUAAUACCGGAUAGGACCCUGGGAUGCAUGUCCUGGGGUGGAAAGCUUUUGCGGUGUGGGAUGGGCCCGCGGCCUAUCAGCUUGUUGGUGGGGUGAUGGCCUACCAAGGCGACGACGGGCAGCCGGCCUGAGAGGGUGACCGGCAACACUGGGAGUGAGAUACGGCCCAGACGCCUACGGGAGGCAGCAGUGGGGAAGAUUGCACAAUGGGCGCAAGCCUGAUGCAGCGACGCCGCGUGAGGGAUGACGGCCUUCGGGUUGUAAACCUCUUUCAGCACCGACGAAGCGCAAGUGACGGUAGGUGCAGAAGAAGGACCGGCCAACUACGUGCCAGCAGCCGCCGUAA
rnacentral:rRNA from 1 species